rnacentral:misc_RNA from 1 species
UCAAACUUGGUCAUUUAGAGGAAGUAAAAGUCGUAACAAGGUCUCCGUUGGUGAACCAGCGGAGGGAUCAUUACCGAGUUUUUACAACUCCCAAACCCAAUGUGAACCUUUUAAAAACGUUGCUUCGGCGCCACGCCCCGGGCGGUCUCCCAGAGGCCCCCGGACCCAGGCGUGCGCCGAGGGCCUCAAACUCUUGUUUUUAUAGAAGCAGUCUGAGUGGCAUUUAUUGCAAACAAAUGAAUCAAAACUUUCAACAACGGAUCUCUUGGUUCUGGCAUCGAUGAAGAACGCAGC